CGUGGAACUCCUGCUGGAAGACUCGGCUGGUUUUUCCGCCGAAAGUCUAGAAGAUAAGGUGUAAAAUGUAAAUCACUAGGUGUUGGAUUCCCCUAUAGUGCCAGACUCUUGUUAUUCAUUAAAGAAUACUAGCUUCUAUCGCUCCUUGCUCGUGGAGCAGCAUACUGGAAAAAAAGGAACCUUUAUCUCUCUUACAAUAAGCAAUAUCUCAAUUGAAAGGGAAUGUCAUUCUCUCAUUCAGCAUGGUGCAACUUACACGUUAAUGAGCACAAUGCAAUUCACGUCACAGCCACUUUCUUGAACUAUAUUACGAGAUUUUUCUUUUUUAGAAAGAUUGUCUGUCCUAAGUGAUCAAAGAAACUUCAGACCGAUAUGUUAGGCGAGCGUCGAGCAGUGAGCUUGGAAAGUAGAGUCGAGGUAGGUCAGGAAGGAUAGCGUACAAGUGAAGCCCACUAGAGAGAAGUUAGCUGGCGAGUUCUUGUUUUUCGAUAGGAAGAGGAAGGAAAAUGCUUUGCUUCGACCUUACCUUAAAGUGGAUGAGAACACGAGGUUAGUAAAUCAAGCAAGUUGACGGUUAGAGAGAAAAGAAAAAACACGACUGAUAGAAAGAGUAAGAGCGAGAGCUCAAUCAUAAAUAGGGAAGCCCUUUCACAGAAUCCGUAGAUUCUCUCCCAAAGAGCAGAGCCACUUGACCAGAGAGAUAGACGAUGUUUGUACGGGUACCCCUUGAAUCAAUGCAUUAAUUUGACGUUGGGACUCAACCUCUUUUUGUUUGGCCCAUGAGGAUACUUUCACUAUACUUGCUCUUCUUGCCUGCUCCACUGUUUUCCGCUUGUCACGAAAGAUUAUGCCUUGAAGAAUGAACGACUGAAAGAUCAAACUCCAGUGCGCUCCUGGAAACUAGAAUGCAGCAAGUUCAAGCCUUAGCGCAAGAUUCCUAAGGUGCAAGCACUUCCUUCUUUCUCAGGGAGUGGAUUCUUCCUCUCCCGAGUUGAGUUAAGAUUCUACUAAGAUGGUAAAGGAUAUUAAUCUCACCAUCGAAAUGGAAACCACUGAAACGUCUGGAUAUGCCCUUGUUUCGUCUAUCUAGCUGACAGCUAUAAUUGGAUUGAUCCCUUUUCAUCUUAGAAUCCCACCGGAGUGAGUAGACACAGAUGCACUACUCUUCUGUCCUCUUCUUCCUAUGGAUGCUCUUCUAGCCCAUCUUUCUCUAUUCAAUCCACGACCUACCUCGAGACACCUGUGUCACAACGGAUGAUUUUUUGAGUGAGGGAAGCCAGAGCGUUGGUCAAGAGAGAGAGAAAAGAAGAACUAUAGAUCGAGAAAGUCACAUUAGCUACACCAGACCAGACAUACUUUCUUUUUUUUUAUUAUUAUUUUUUGACUGACCGGAUCGGUCACUCCUCAACCAACUAAGACAUUUCUGAGUAGUUCCCCUCACCCCUAUCACUUAAAGGCAGAGCUAACCCAACAUUCUACUGCUCUCUAAAGGGCCUGCCUACUCUAUUAGUCAAGCUUGGAGAACAUAGUACUAGGACUUACUAGAUGAAAGACCUUGAUUGGUGAAGGGCUUAAAAGUUAGGUAGCUGCUAUCUAUCAGAUCUUUUCUAAGAGGUUAGGUAGGUGGUUGAGUCGAAACGGAGAAGGAGACUAAGUCAUCUGUCGUGCCGGGAUUUCUUUCCUACUUCCAGCUGAAUGAGCACCACACAGCCGCCAACCCUGCUGGAAGUGCUUUCUAGAUCCAAUCUCCUGGUCUUUCGUUCGCUAUUCGAAUGUCUGGACCAGUAGAAAUGUACGAAAGGUGGUCUUGUCCUUUCCUUUACAACUAGUAGCUAGUAGCUCCGUCGUUGAUCCCUCCUCUUCCCGGCCGGUUGUGACUCGUAUGUCCAGCCAACGACUAUCGAUUCCUAACGAAUCCAUAGAUUCUUCUACCAUUCGACCAGAUCUUCUAGAUUGUAUUCUCAUUUUCCGGCCUCGAGCAACUUUACUAAUAAGGGAAAAGCCCUUAACUUAAUUGAAUUCAUAUUAUAUUAGUAUAAUAUAAAGCGCUAGCGCCCAACCGGCUUUCCGCCUCCAUUUGGUCGUGCUGCUAUGAUGUAACGUGCAGUCGUCCCGAGGCAUUUUAGGGCCCCCCAUUUUCUCUCCCUUAAAGUCCUUUAUGGAUUUCAAGUCGGGAAUAGAGCUGUGACUUAUUCGGCGCUAUAUCACAAUUCAUUCAUUCUCGGGCAUAGCUGUUCACGAAACGUGGCAUGGGACAUCUGUCGGCGGCGGGUGAAUUCCGAGCGAGAGGUCAAACCAAUCCCAUUCAUCCUGGUCUGAUCCGAACGGAUCUUGUUGAAUGAAUUGAUCCAUUGUUCUAUGCCCUACUUCUUAGUUCAUUUUUUCCUACUCGGACCCGCCGUACUUCCUUUGACUACUCCUGAGAUN
rnacentral:lncRNA from 1 species